AAUUGCAAGUAACAGCAUGUUUGUAGCCUAUUACAUAGAGAAGAUAGAACAAAAAGAAUUUACUGGAUUUUUUUUGUCCUCUCUCACAGGGCUUCUUUCUGGAAAAUGGAAAUGGACUGCCUUCAAGUCGAUCCCAACUUAUGGCUACCCUAUGAACAGGGUUUUCAUGCUUGCCUGCCAAAAAAUAUGAAUAAAUGAAAAGAAAAUCAGAUGGUUUUGAACUGGAGAGAAAAUGCAGAAUGAUGGAAGAUCCUUCAGUAAAGAUUAGGAGCAUGAUGGUUCUUCAGAAAAGAGAACUCCAAAUGACUAACCCUGGUGAAUACAUUUGAAGAGGGUGGAUCCAUCGUCACAUGGUGGAGGAGGAAGUUCCCACUUCUGCCAUGGCAAUAAUGUUGUACACCAUGGCUGUCAUGUUGUACAUGAACCAGGUGUUCCAUGUGUAUGCCAGAUUCCAUGAAGGCCCAGUGUGUGUGAUUCUUUCCCU